CACAUGCAAGUCGUGCGAGAAAGUAUCUUCGGAUAUGAGUAGAGCGGCGGACGGGUGAGUAACGCGUAGGAAUCUACCUAGUAGAAGGGGAUAGCCCGGGGAAACUCGGAUUAAUACCGUAUACCUCCUUCGGGAGAAAGAAGGCCUCUCUUUGAAGCUUUCGCUAUUAGAUGAGCCUGCGUAAGAUUAGCUUGUUGGUGAGGUAAAGGCUCACCAAGGCGACGAUCUUUAGCGGGUCUGAGAGGACGAUCCGCCACAUUGGGACUGAGACACGGCCCAGACUCCUACGGGAGGCAGCAGUGGGGAAUAUUGGACAAUGGGCGCAAGCCUGAUCCAGCCAUACCGCGUGUGUGAAGAAGGCCCUAGGGUUGUAAAGCACUUUAAGUUGGGAAGAAAAGUUAUUGGUUAAUAUCCAAUAACCGUGACAUUACCAUCAGAAUAAGGACCGGCUAAUUCCGUGCCAGCAGCCGCGGUAAUACGGAAGGUCCAAGCGUUAAUCGGAAUUACUGGGCGUAAAGCGCGCGUAGGUGGUUUAUUAAGUUGGAUGUGAAAUCCCCGGGCUCAACCUGGGAACUGCAUCCAAAACUGAUUCACUAGAGUACGAUAGAGGGAGGUAGAAUUCACAGUGUAGCGGUGGAAUGCGUAGAUAUUGUGAAGAAUACCAAUGGCGAAGGCAGCCUCCUGGAUCUGUACUGACACUGAGGUGCGAAAGCGUGGGUAGCGAACAGGAUUAGAUACCCUGGUAGUCCACGCCGUAAACGAUGUCAACUAGCUGUUGGAGAACUAUGUUCUU
rnacentral:rRNA from 1 species